rnacentral:tmRNA from 1 species
GGGGUCGACUGGUUUUGACAGCGAGUGGAAUUAACUAGUAAGCACGUCGAGCGUUGUAUGUUUAGCUCGUAAAUCCAAAUGUACAAACUUAUAAACGGCGAAAAUAAUUACGCUUUAGCUGCUUAAUCUGAAUUAUAGUAAGAUUUGCCAAGUUCCUACUAGGUAGGAAAGCUGGAUUCUCCUCAAAAGCCCUGGUUUAUGGCGGUUGGAUUAGGAGAACCGUAAAAGUAAACCUAGGAACGGUAAUGCUUUAAAUCCGUUCUGACACUGAUAAAGCUAAGUUAAAAGUGGCAGUUUCUAGCCUUGCUUUUAGUCGAAAAUUUAAUAUGAAACUAAGCGUGUAGAAAGCUUUUUGAUUGCUUGUUUGGACGAGAGUUCGAUUCUCUCCGACUCCACUA